CCUACCCUAUGGACGGGGAUAACCUCGGGAAACUGAGAAUAAUACCCGAUAGAACAUUAUACCUGGAAUGGUUUAUGUUUCAAAUAAUUUAUUGCCGUAGGAUGGGACUGCGGCCUAUCAGUUUGUUGGUGAGGUAAUGGCCCACCAAGACUAUUACAGGUACGGGCUCUGAGAGGAGUAGCCCGGAGAUGGGUACUGAGACACGGACCCAGGCCCUAUGGGGCGCAGCAGGCGAGAAAACUUUGCAAUGUGCGAAAGCACGACAAGGUUAAUCCGAGUGGUUUCUGCUAAAGGAACCUUUUGUCAGUCCUAGAAACACUGUUGAAUAAGGGGUGGGCAAGUUCUGGUGUCAGCCGCCGCGGUAAAACCAGCACCUCAAGUGGUCAGGAUGAUUAUUGGGCCUAAAGCAUCCGUAGCCUGCUUUGUAAGUUUUCGGUUAAAUCCAUACGCUCAACGUAUGGGCCGCCGGGAAUACUGCAAAGCUAGGGAGUGGGAGAGGUAGACGGUACUCGGUAGGAAGGGGUAAAAUCCUUUGAUCUAUUGAUGACCACCUGUGGCGAAGGCGGUCUACCAGAACACGUCCGACGGUGAGGGAUGAAAGCUGGGGGAGCAAACCGGAUUAGAUACCCGGGUAGUCCCAGCUGUAAACUAUGCAAACUCGGUGAUGCAUUGGCUUGAUGCCAAUGCAGUGCCGCAGGGAAGCCGUUAAGUUUGCCGCCUGGGAAGUACGUACGCAAGUAUGAAACUUAAAGGAAUUGGCGGGGGAGCACCACAAGGGGUGAAGCCUGCGGUUCAAUUGGAGUCAACGCCGGAAAUC
rnacentral:rRNA from 1 species